rnacentral:piRNA from 1 species
UGAGCAACUCAAAGUCUCUGGUGAGCAACAC